rnacentral:rRNA from 1 species
CGAAUGCUGACAUAAGUAACGAUAAAGCGGGUGAAAAGCCCGCUCGCCGGAAGACCAAGGGUUCCUGUCCAACGUUAAUCGGGGCAGGGUGAGUCGACCCCUAAGGCGAGGCCGAAAGGCGUAGUCGAUGGGAAACAGGUUAAUAUUCCUGUACUUGGUGUUACUGCGAAGGGGGGACGGAGAAGGCUAUGUUGGCCGGGCGACGGUUGUCCCGGUUUAAGCGUGUAGGCUGGUUUUCCAGGCAAAUCCGGAAAAUCAAGGCUGAGGCGUGAUGACGAGGCACUACGGUGCUGAAGCAACAAAUGCCCUGCUUCCAGGAAAAGCCUCUAAGCAUCAGGUAACAUCAAAUCGUACCCCAAACCGACACAGGUGGUCAGGUAGAGAAUACCAAGGCGCUUGAGAGAACUCGGGUGAAGGAACUAGGCAAAAUGGUGCCGUAACUUCGGGAGAAGGCACGCUGAUAUGUAGGUGAAGUCCCUCGCGGAUGGAGCUGAAAUCAGUCGAAGAUACCAGCUGGCUGCAACUGUUUAUUAAAAACACAGCACUGUGCAAACACGAAAGUGGACGUAUACGGUGUGACGCCUGCCCGGUGCCGGAAGGUUAAUUGAUGGGGUCAGCGCAAGCGAAGCUCUUGAUCGAAGCCCCGGUAAACGGCGGCCGUAACUAUAACGGUCCUAAGGUAGCGAAAUUCCUUGUCGGGUAAGUUCCGACCUGCACGAAUGGCGUAAUGAUGGCCAGGCUGUCUCCACCCGAGACUCAGUGAAAUUGAACUCGCUGUGAAGAUGCAGUGUACCCGCGGCAAGACGGAAAGACCCCGUGAACCUUUACUAUAGCUUGACACUGAACAUUGAGCCUUGAUGUGUAGGAUAGGUGGGAGGCUUUGAAGUGUGGACGCCAGUCUGCAUGGAGCCGACCUUGAAAUACCACCCUUUAAUGUUUGAUGUUCUAACGUGGACCCGUGAUCCGGGUUGCGGACAGUGUCUGGUGGGUAGUUUGACUGGGGCGGUCUCCUCCUAAAGAGUAACGGAGGAGCACGAAGGUUGGCUAAUCCUGGUCGGACAUCAGGAGGUUAGUGCAAUGGCAUAAGCCAGCUUGACUGCGAGCGUGACGGCGCGAGCAGGUGCGAAAGCAGGUCAUAGUGAUCCGGUGGUUCUGAAUGGAAGGGCCAUCGCUCAACGGAUAAAAGGUACUCCGGGGAUAACAGGCUGAUACCGCCCAAGAGUUCAUAUCGACGGCGGUGUUUGGCACCUCGAUGUCGGCUCAUCACAUCCUGGGGCUGAAGUAGGUCCCAAGGGUAUGGCUGUUCGCCAUUUAAAGUGGUACGCGAGCUGGGUUUAGAACGUCGUGAGACAGUUCGGUCCCUAUCUGCCGUGGGCGCUGGAGAACUGAGGGGGGCUGCUCCUAGUACGAGAGGACCGGAGUGGACGCAUCACUGGUGUUCGGGUUGUCAUGCCAAUGGCACUGCCCGGUAGCUAAAUGCGGAAGAGAUAAGUGCUGAAAGCAUCUAAGCACGAAACUUGCCCCGAGAUGAGUUCUCCCUGACCCUUUAAGGGUCCUGAAGGAACGUUGAAGACGA